rnacentral:rRNA from 1 species
UACGAAGGGGGCUAGCGUUGCUCGGAAUCACUGGGCGUAAAGGGUGCGUAGGCGGGUCUUUAAGGCAGAGGUGAAAUCCUGGAGCUCAACUCCAGAACUGCCUUUGAUACUGAGGAUCUUGAGUUCGGGAGAGGUGAGUGGAACUGCGAGUGUAGAGGUGAAAUUCGUAGAUAUUCGCAAGAACACCAGUGGCGAAGGCGGCUCACUGGCCCGAUACUGACGCUGAGGCACGAAAGCGUGGGGAGCAAACAGG